GAAAAACAAUAAUUCAAUUAUAUUUCCAGUUGAUGUAAUAAAAUUAUGUACAAAAAUCCGGACCUACUCGAAAUAACAAAAAACCUAAUGAAGAAGUGAUUAAUUAACUCCGCUGCAAUGUUGCUUUUCAUUCGUUGCCUGCAGCGUUUGGCCUUAAAGGCCUUAUUAUACGGAGGAAAAUACUGUCAUUCGAUUUUGGAAUCUAUCCUUCAAACAGGGUUUAACAGAUAGAUGCCAGUCGGAAAAUCAGAAUUCAGCAUGCUCAUUUCAACGAAUGAUUCUUUAGAAUAAAGCCAAGAAAAUCAAUAAAUUAAAUAAUAAAUGUGAAAAGUGACAGAACUAUUCUCUUGCCUUAUUCACGUACGAGAGGCAUUUUUGUGCCAACGUCUUAGUUUGAAAGAUAAAUGCCAAUCAAGAAAUGACAGUAUUUUCCUCCGUCUAAUAAGGCCAUAAGGCCCGUGGCAGCGCUCAUCCGAUGCGAUUUUAUUGGAGGAGAUUUAUAUGGGAUUUGACAGAUAACGUCGGACGUGCGAUUUCGUCGUACGACGGAAUCAAAAAAAAAAUUGAUUCCGUCGGAUUGUCGCAUCUGAUUUUAUCUGUCAAGGCGAAUAUUCCAUAAGCUGCAUAAGCGAUUUGGUACCCUAAUUUACACCUGUUUCCAUCUACGUUCGAAUCUCGUGCCGUUUGCAUCGAAUCGCAAACCGCCUGCUUCGAAUCGCAUGCCACUACGAUCGAAUGCGUGCACCCAUGGUUGAAUAGCGUGCCAGUACGGUUGAAUCGCGUUCCACUAUGGUCGAAUCAUAUGCCACUACGAUCGAAUCGUGUGCCGCUACCAUUGGAUUUCUGAAAGCAAGAGCAUAGUAAACUGUUUGUUUACGUUUGAAAGCUGUUUCUUGCUUCACCGACGGCAUUUCGUUUUUAAAAUACUAAUAAAAGGGAAUUAUUCCCUGAUUAUAGGUAAACCCGACGAAUGUUGGUUGAAACUAUGGAUUUUACCAUCAACAACGAACACCGAAUAUUAGUUGAACUUAAGGAUUUUACCAUCAACAAGGGACCACGAUAUUCGUCGAUAACAAGGAUUUUACGUAAAUCCAAUGGUAGCGGCACACGAUUCGAUCGUAGUGGCAUAUGAUUCGACCAUAGUGGAACGCGAUUCAACCGUACUGGCACGCUAUUCAACCAUGGGUGCACGCAUUCGAUCGUAGUGGCAUGCGAUUCGAAGCAGGCGGUUUGCGAUUCGAUGCAAACGGCACGAGAUUCAAACGUAGAUGGAAACAGGUGUAUCUUAAUUUAUUUAUCUUUAUCAGGGUGGCCUAAGGUCUUUGGGAGAAAACAGGUCGAUGCAAAGCCCGUUGCUAGGUUGCCAUUUUCAGCUCGUUUUUGACAGUUUCAUGAAAAAGUGUUUAAAAAAAAACAUUUAAAAAACAAACGAAUUUUAUAUAAAGAAUAUUGUAAUGCUUCAAUAUCCUGCGGCCAAACACUCAUGGAGACAUAUGAAGAAGUAAUUUUAGUCCACUUAUAUAUUUUUUUAGUAAAUGUAUUUAGCGUAACUGUACCAGUUUUCGGCAGAGUAGCUAAAAACGUGAAAUUCUGCACAAAUGUGGUAAAAAAUUUCACAAAACACAAUUUUGUAGUGAAAGUGUAAUUAUUUGAUAUUCACAUAGCCACGAAGUUUCACACCAUUUCAUUACGUAUUUUUCAAAAUAUCAAAUAAAUUGUGCUUUUUUUCGGCAGCUUUGCUGUCAGCUAAUGGUUCGGCAGGUUUUGUGAUUAAGAGAAUCAGAACCGUAAAACAGUGAAAAAGUGGUGUAUGUUAAAGAUUUUAUGCUUAUUUAAUUUAUUCAAACUUGUUCGGAAUUUUAAAAUAACGAUAAACAAGGUAUUUUUCACUUUCAAUGCUGCCGAAAAUAGGUACACAGUAAAUGUUCAUUUUUGACAGCUCGAUGUUGUGGGCUCCUGCCGAAACUCGGAACAAUAACACACCUUGGAUUUGGCUGAAUAUUUCUUUAAAAAUUGAUCAGAACACUACAAUGCGUAUAUCGACACAUAAUAUGUCCUUUCUUGUACCAAAUAUCACCAAUUUUACGACAAACAAUGCACUAACUUAAGAGAAAAAUAAAUAUUUGUAAGCCAAUUCGCACCGUACGCUAUAACCAUCAAACUGUCAAUGGCUGCUGUGUUUAAACGACGCAUCAAAAUGGCUGUCAAAACGGGCCAAAAUAAGCAACAUAAAAUUAUUAAUUAAAGUGCUUUUUAACAUCAAUAUUAGGAAAGUAAGAGUGUAAAAUUGCUUUAAACAUUUUUUGUACAUAUUUACAUAGAUAAUAACAUUUUCUGAUUCGUAUUCGCGCUGCCGAAAAUAGGAACACAACCUGCCGAAAAUUGGAACAAACUGCCGAAAAUAGGAGCAAAAGCAAUGUUUGCAUUUUUACGAAUAUUUAUGAAAAAGGGCUUUGAACCGGCAAAUAAAAAAUAGUGUAACAUAUUAUGAUAGUUUAUCAACCAGAAUAACAUCACGUUCAUGAAAAAUAAUAUAAAAUGUUUAUUUGUGAGCAGUUUUUGUGAAACUGCUGCACUAGCGUGCCGAAAACUGGUACAGUUAUCCUAGUUUCGAAAAAUAUAGCGACAAAAUGAUGGUUCUUCUCUGGAAAACUUACUUUCACAUUUUAAUAAAUUUUUAUAAUGUAUUGUUUUGGUUUGCAAAGCUUUAAGCAAUUCUCAAAAUAUUCUUGCGGGCCACAUUCAAAAUCGACGCGGGCCGCAUGCGGUCUUAAGCAAGUGUGCUUAGUCCCCUUCUUCGCCAUCAAGCAGCUUAAGAGCAAUAAGUCUACUGGCAGCGAUGGACUGGCGGCCGAGCUCUUCAAGAUGGGACCGGAGAGGCUUACCGUCGAAAUCAGCUGAUCGUGAAAGUAUGGGUGCAGGAGGAACUACCGGAGGAGUGGAAGUUGUGUGUUAUUCACCCAGUAUACAAAAAGGACGACAGACUGGAUUGUUCGAAUGUUCGAGCCAUCACAGUCCUUAAUGCCACCUACAAGAUCCUGUCCAAGAUCGUGUUCUGCAGACUUGAGCCCGUUGCUACAAAUUUUAUCAGCAGCUACCAAGCUGGGUUUGUUGGAGGCAAAUCCACCCCCGAUAAAAUUUUCACUCUACGGCAGAUCCUCCAGAGGGGCCGAGAGCGCCAGAUCCCUACGCACCACCUGUUCAUCGACUUCAAGGCGGCCUACGACACCAUAGACCGGAAUGAGCUAUGGAACAUCAUGCAACGGUACCACUUCCCUGGGAAGUUGAUCCGGCUUUUAGAGACCACCAUCAUACUUGACGUCGGAAUCGUUCGAAUCUCACAGGGGUCUGAGGCAAGGAGACGAACUUUCCUGCCUGCUCUUCAUCGCCCUGCAAGAUGUCAUUCGAAGCGCGGGGCUAGACAACGACAUCCGUGGCACGAUCCUCUACCGGUCUUUCCAAUUUCUUGAUUUCGCGGAUGACAUCAUCCGCAGGACAACAGCGAAGGUGUGUGAGGCGUACACCCGACUCAAACGUGAAGCAGCAAGAAUUGGAUUGAGAAUCAAUGCGACGAAGACGAAGUACCUGCUUGCCGCAGACUCAGACCACCUGGGAAGCAGUGUAUUAGUUGACGACGAUAAUCUCAAGGUAAUAAAGGAGUUCUGUUAUAUCGGGACGGUCGUUACUUCGGACAACGACAUCAGCAGCGAAAUCCGGAGGCGCAUUGUGCAGGAGAAUCGUGCAUACUAUGGGCUUCAUCGACUGCUGAGAUCCAGAAGACUUCUAGCCCGCAUGAAAUGUGAGAUAUAUCGAAUAUUGGGCCUAAUCGCGAACGAAAGUCGAUAUAAUUUAUACGAUCGGAUAAUAUGCUCCAUUCCGCCGGUGGAAUUUGUUUUCCACUGGUGGAUAAUUUUCUCCACUAGUGAAUAACUCUUUCCGAUUCGAGUAGCCAUUGGUUUUUUGCCUAUCUGCCCAAGAUCUAUUAAGGAGAACAGGUCGAUGCAAAGCCCGUUGCUAGGUUGCCAUUUUCAGCUCGCUUUUGACAGUUUCAUAAAAAAGUGUUCACAAAAAAACGGUGUAUAGUUAACGAGGAAAAGUGGACGAAUUUACUAUUAAGAAGAUUCUAUUGGUUAAAUUUCUUGCGGUCAAUCAUUUCUGGAGAAUAAAGGAGAAGUAAUUGCAGUCUACUAUGUAUUCAGAUAACCUCAUUGUUUGCCAUUCCGUGACCACGAAUCACUACCUUUUGCAACGGUCCUACUGGAAGAACGAAAAGCUUAACAGGCAUAAAACAGCACUUUACAUUUUCCAACUGGGUAACAGAAGUCAUAUUUACUUUCAUUUAAACACUGAGAGUUAAAUGAAACAUCGAAUCGGCACACACAAGUACAAUAUGCAUACGGUCUUCUGCUUAUAACCCGGCGACGAAUGAUAAAGGGGAUGCUUGGAUUGUAUGGAUUGUAUCAGCCAUGUAAUAUUCUAAUUGGAUUCUAAUUAUUAUAAUAUUCUAACAGAAAAUAAGUGCAAAAUGCAGAACAAAACUCUUAUUCACUCCAUAGCAACGUCCAUCGCUAAACAUAAACAAUGUUCAAUUUAACUGUCAAAAUUUUCCCAUGGCUUUAUGUCAAUUUACUCUAAACGCAUCCUGUUCUCUUUCAAAGACUUUGUAUCUGCCAAUGGUGCCCUUUCCGUUUUAAGUUCGUAGGCCGAAAUUUCAGCAGCCAGUCAGUUGUUUGCUUUGUAUAGCAGUUUUCAAGCAGCUAUCUAAGUGGGUAUAAUAAACAGGUGGUCUUAUCCCAAGGUGUAUGAAUUUAGAAGGCUGAUUAUUAUCGCUUCUUCUUCUGAAUGAAGAUUUUAAGAGUGUUUUUGAAGGAAUCCAAGCAUGCAUGAUUGAUUCUUUCAUCAUAGUAGUCAUAUAAAUGUUCAAUAAAGGUUUAGUUCGCUUUCAUCACUAGAAGAGAAUAGUCCACAUUUACUGCGUUACAACAGUUUUGAGUAUUCGUCAAGCCUCCAGAAAGCUUGUUUGAACAAAAGUUUUCACCCAUUCUGUCAAAAAUUGAUAUUCAAAUUUUGUUAUAAAAAACAUGCUAUGAGACCACCUGGAGUACAUACUCUUUGAUACUAGAUUCCAUCACAUGAUCUCUUUAAUGCACCCUCCGUCGACACCAGAAGUGGCCUUAGGCAGUAUCAACUGUAGGUCUUUUCAAAAAAUCCCGGUACAGUGUAAAAAGGGUGGUUGCCUGAACAAGUUGAGAUGAAACAAAAUCGUAUUAACUGGGGGACGAGGUUUGAAUCUUUUCUGAACUUGCUGCCUUCGCUGACCCUUGAUCCUAAAGUACCAUCAACCUCAGCCAAAAUGGGUCUGCGAACGUCUAUUUAAAAAAAAAAAACUCGUACAAAAAGAUAUAGAAGCUACGCGGUACAAUUGUGCCGUGCAAUAAGGAGUGUCCGAAAUCGCUCACGAUCUCUCGCCCUCGCCAGUCCAUUAUCCUAGCCUCCAAGUCAUCUGGUCACUGUUAUUUAAACCUACCUCUCCGCAAUGGCGGAUUUAAUGGUAAGCGGACCGAGUGGCCGCGGGGGGGGGGGGGGGGGGCGUGAAUGGUAAUUCCAGCAUAUAUGGCGUGUAACAGUAGUCUCAUCGCGGGCCUCCUUGAACGAUAGAGGCUUCUUCGACGAAGGGACUCAUAGACUAUAGGGGGCCCAUAUAUGAGGGAUCCCGACUAACCCCCCUCCCCUCAGCAAAAUCCCAGACAAAACAUGAAAGUGUGUUUGAUCCUAAGCCAAGUGAAGAAACCACACCCUCCUCCCUCGUUCAACACCUACAGAGGGUCCCCACUCCGUGUACCACUUAGGGCCUUAGGGUCAACACCCUAAAUCUGCCACUGUCCCUAACAACACGUUACGGACUGGGUGGUCCGUUUCCAUGCGUAUAGCACGGCCUGAGGUCGCCGUACAUCUCGUAUAACUCGUCAUUAUAUCGGCUUCUCUAUUGUGCUUCCACACAUACGGGACCAAGAUGAUUUCGUCAGAUUUGAUAAAAAUAAAAUAACUGUGUUAAAACUGUAAUCUAUGAAAGUAGAGAAGCUAUUCAAGUGUACAUACUGGUUUAAACGAAUGAACAACAACAAAAUAUUGAGUGACGCGUUUGCCACGAGGCGUGGCACUUAGUGAUGUAUGAGUCAAUCCGAACAUUCCCGGGCUGUAGCCAUUCAUAAGCUAAGCAGAGUUUUGGGAGAUAGUUCGGAAGGUACAAGUAGGCACAACACCUUCGAUAGGUGCAAGAAAACGCCAACGAUUCCGACCGGAACUCGUCGCUCCAACGGGUAGGAGUUACUUAUACCUUCUUGCACUUAGUGUUCCUACACGCCUUCUCAAUCUCGUAGCAUCCACGUGUCAGAAACGAUUCUAACGAGCCGUCAUCUUCUAACGUGCCUGAUUAAGUCAACUGAACGUGCCGUCAUAAGGUUGGAUAAAAGAGAAGGGUUAGAAGAAAGGAAUUUUUUAUGUUGGUUUAUCAUUUCUUAGCUUUGACUAUAAAGACUAAAAACCUAUUACAAAUCUAUAAAAUUUCGUGAUUUUAUUCUUUAAAAAAAGUUAAAUUUAUAUUUUCUAAACAAGAAUAUUUAACUUACUCGAGAGAUAAAACAUCUCAAAUAACUCAAACAGCGAUAAAACAUCCUUUUUUGUUUGCUGUUAAUCAUGGUUUUUCAUAUUAUUUAGUUUUCCACUGUUAUAUCAACUGGUGCACAGUGGAUUCAGUGGAUAUGGCUAUCCGACUGAAAUGCUUUUUUUUAUAUGAUGUUUUCAACUGCAUAUCCCACUGCUCGACUUUUUAACCACGUUGCUAUGGCGGCAAACACCAUUCCACUCCACUGCCAAACCGAUAGAUUAGCGAAGAUUCUGAUUGAGAAAACACAAUUGGAUAACAUUCGAAUUUUGCUAACCGAUCGACUAAAUUAUCCACUCCGUUAUCAACUUUCGUUCCCGA